rfam:Fibrisoma limi BTZ 3, type strain:BTZ 3, WGS project CAIT01000000 data, contig: 6
AACGGGGCCGCCGAAAACCGAACAGAGUAGGCA